rnacentral:rRNA from 1 species
ACGGAAGGCAGCAGUGGGGAAUAUUGGGCAAUGGGCGAAAGCCUGACCCAGCGACGCCGCGUGAGGGAAGACGGUCUUCGGAUUGUAAACCUCUUUCAGCAGGGAAGAUAAUGACGGUACCUGCAGAAGAAGCCACGGCUAACUACGUGCCAGCAGCCGCGGUAAUACGUAGGUGGCAAGCGUUAUCCGGAUUUACUGGGUGUAAAGGGCGCGUAGGCGGGGAUGCAAGUCAGAUGUGAAAUCUAUGGGCUUAACCCAUAAACUGCAUUUGAAACUGUAUCUCUUGAGUGUCGGAGAGGUAGAUGGAAUUCCUAGUGUAGCGGUGAAAUGCGUAGAUAUUAGGAGGAACACCAGUGGCGAAGGCGAUCUACUGGACGAUAACUGACGCUGAGGCGCGAAAGCGUGGGGAGCAAACAGGAUUAGAUACCCUGGUA